rnacentral:rRNA from 1 species
GCAAUCUAUCCUGUUGCGGGGGACAACGAGGGGAAACCUUCGCUAAUACCGCAUGGUCGGGAGACUCGAUGGGUCUUCCGGGAAACGUGGCCUCUUUACAAUGCUACGGUGGCAGGAGGAGCUCGCGGGCUAUCAGCUAGUUGGUGAGGUAACGGCUCACCAAGGCGACGACGGCUACGGGGUCUGAGAGGACGACCCCGCACAUUGGAACUGAGACACGGUCCAGACUCCUACGGGAGGCAGCAGUGGGGAAUAUUGGGCAAUGGCCGAAAGGCUGACCCAGCGACGCCGCGUGUGGGAGGAAGCCCUUCGGGGUGUAAACCACUGUCAGGAGGGACGAAAGAGCGCAUGGUGAAUAAUCAUGGGCAGUGACGGUACCUUCAAAGGAAGCACCGGCUAACUCUGUGCCAGCAGCCGCGGUAAUACAGAGGGUGCAAGCGUUGUUCGGAAUUACUGGGCGUAAAGCGCGCGCAGGCGGGUCCUGUAAGUCGGAAGUGAAAUUUCACG